AGAAGAAAGGAGGAAAGGGAAAAAGAAGAACCCAAUUACGGAUUUCUCAAUUCCUGUAUCAGAGCUUCUUCCAACAAACUCUCUGACUCCUCCAUCAAUUCAUGGCUCAAUCUAAACAUUAAAAUACAAAAUUCCAUCUGAUUAAGAGCACCAUCAC